AUGCUUGAUGCAGAUGGUGCUGCUGCUGUGGAAGACCUUCGAGCAGAACUUGCUCGGGCCAAGGAGCAAGCCAGAAAAAGCGAGGCGGCUGCCUCGAAGGCAGCGGAAGAGCUAGAAGCCGAGAAGGCUGCUCACUGUCGAAGCAGGGAGGAGAUGGCCGGAAUGGCCGCAAAAUUAAAAGUUGCUACCGACCGCCAGGAGGUUCUUGAAAGAGAAUGCCGAGCGGAGCAAGAGGACCUGAAGAAGGCCGACGCCGAAGCCAAGGAUGCCCAUAGUGCGAUGCGGGCUAUGAAGGAGGAACUGCGUCAGGUCGGAGACAUUGUGGCUGGAAAGCCCUUUAUGCCGCGUAGGAAGUUCACGGAUCCGAAGUAUGCUCAGCUGGGCCGAUUGUACGGUGCGGAGGAUCCUUAUAUGGACUUGGCAGCGAGUGCGGAGGACGCAGUCGUGCACUUCCGAAGCCAGAAGGAUCAAGAAAUGGAAGAGCUUUUCUGGUCUCAAUUCCAUAGUCCGGAGCGUCCACUUCCGUUGAGUGAUCGGCUGGUUGAGUGGGCUGAGCUGAAUAGAUUGUCCGGACUUGCCAUGACGGAUGUGGUCACUCAUCUGUGGCCGGAAAGGCCCAAGCCGAAGAGUUAUUUUGGCUUGUUGCAGCAAUUCUUGGGGCGGUGCCGCGUAUUGGGGCGAUGA
rnacentral:rRNA from 1 species